UUUUUAAUCAGGCAGGACCUGGAAGGGGAAUGCCUCCAAACAUGUCUGGUCCUGGUUUUAAUGCUGCAGGACCUAUAGGACGAGGAACACCUCCUGAUAAGAGCUCAGGGGGCUGGGUUCCUCCUAGAAAUAAUGGACCUCCGGGGAAAGCGCCUUCAAGAGGAGAGCAGAAUGAUUAUUCACAGAAUUUUGUAGAUACUGGUAUGCGACC
rnacentral:misc_RNA from 1 species